AAUGAUCAUAUCUUGAAUUUUAUUUUUCACUUUUAAUCAAUGAAGUUUUUCUACAAUUGCGUCAUUUUGAUUUUAGGAUGAAGUUUUGUGUAGAGUCAUGAUUAGUAUCAAUUUGUCAUCACUUCCUUUAGUGAACUUUUGUAAAAAAUAUUCAACAUUCUAUAUAGUUUCAAAUUCUUAGAGUGUUUUUAUUAUUAUCUUUGGGUUCUUUAAUUACUAUUAGAUCAUUAGCAAUUUUCCUAGAGUUAUGUUUCUUGAACUUUCAAUUUUUUUUCGCAAAUUUUCUUUUUUUUUUUCCGAAAAUUUUCAGGGUGCAAAAUGCAGAAUUAAGAGGUGAGAAUAUCAGUUCGUUUGGAUCUGUUUGUGAAGUUCUUGAAAUCUUUGGUGCGAAAAGGAAUUUCAAAGGUACGCAUAGCAACAUUUUCAUGCGUUUUGAUCCGUGGUCAUCUUUUGGAGCGCUUAUGGAAAAGCUUCAUCGAAGAAAUGGGCGGUGUUGAUCGGUGAAUUGGAAGUGACGUUUUCCGGUGAGAUUCGUAAACUUGUUUUUCCGAUUACGUGCGCCAUUUUGUUGAAAUUCCUUGGUGCAAGCCUUUCACACUCAUGAUUGAAUCGAUUUUCAAUUAGUGAUUUUCUUCCAUUCUCGCUGUUUUGAGCAAUCUCUGGUUCUGUAUUGCUAUUUGUGCGUCUCUAUUCAUCCUUUUUAUUGAGUGUUCUUGCACUUCUUGACUGAAAACCGUUUUCGGGGAUCGGAGGUCUUACGGUUUUAGGCGACCUAAAUCGGUUCUGCAAUUGACGAUCUGAGAAGGUGCCGGAAGGAUGUCGGUUAUUCAGGAUUCCGGUAGUACAUAUUAUAUUAUGUUGAACUCAUAUUGGGCUGACCAUAGACUCAAGUGGUCCCUUUCAGAAUAUGGGCAUUAAUUACAAGCCCAAUUCAAAACGUAGAUGCUUAAUAUUAUUCUGAAAAAACAAAAUUUAAUUUAGGUAAUUCUCGUUGUUUGCAAAGUGUUCUUAUACUUUCUAUUAAAUAAGAAACUUGUUUUGUAUCAAUUAUGUGUUUAGUUCUUGCGUUGGUCGGGCUCUCUAAUGAGUGACCUAAGCCCAUAUUAAAGUCUAUACAACGUCACUUAAUUCAAAAAAAUACCUUUUCUUAAAAGCAUAUCUAAAAUAAAUGAUUGUGUUCUGAAAAUGAAAUUUCAUAAUAGAAUUUCAAAAUCAAAAUCCCGUUUUCAAAAAAGCAAAUUUAGAAUACAAAAAGUAUUGUAUUGGUCAUAAGUCCUGGAGAUUUUGGUUUAAGCGUUUAGGUCAGUUCAAUUUUUGCGUAAGUAUGAAUUUAAACGGUGGGCCGUAAGCUCGGCCCAGAUGCUGGUAGACAGCUCAAAAAAUAUAAUUAAAAAGAAGGAAUAUUGUGAUUAUUUAUAAUACAUACACUAAUUAAAUACCAAAAAGUUUUUUGGCAUAAAGUAGUUAGCACCCGAGAAUAAAGGUGCAUGUGAACAAAAUGUGUUAUUGUUGUUAAGCAUCCUAAAAUAAAGGUGCACAAAAGCAAUAUGUUUUAUUGUUAUGAUUAUAUGUUUUCUGUUGAGAUUAUAUUCUCUCUAUUGAAAUCUCACUCUGUUGAGAUCAGAGAAAGCGAUUGAAGGGAUAUCUAUAAAAGGGGCUCUAGGCCCCUAGUAAAGGUAUGUUGUUUUUGAAUACUUGAGACUGAAACUAAAUAUUUAUUUUGUAUGCUCUCAUUGACUUGAUCGUCAGAGUGUGAUCAACAAUUAGAGCCCCCUUUGUCCUAGUGGAGCAGCAUCUCGGAGCACCAAUUGGAGACAAAUCAGAAGAGGAGCUUGCCCAUUCAAUCCAUCCAAGGUCAAACACAUGAUGAAGAGAUGAUGAUCGCCGCCUUUGAACAAGGGAUGGCAACAAGACCGUUUAGUAAUUCGUUAAUCAGGAAACCAACGGAGACAUUUUCCGAGGUACAUGAACGAGUUAUCGCCCACAUCGAGGCGGAAGAGGCCAUACUCAUGAAGAACGACAGCUCGCGCUCAAGGCAAUCUAGGCCUAAGGAGAGCAACCAAGAUCGCCCCCUACAGGUCAACGAAACCUCUGCCAAGAAGAGAAUGGACUCGAGGUACGUACCAUAUGUAGCCAAGAAAUAUGAGCCCAACGUGAAGGCCAGGGAAGAGUCAACAACUCGGCCCAAAUUUCGAGUAUGCUAUAAAGAUUUCCAAAGUAUGCCAGGGGUAGCAGACAAGCUAAAGUUUCCCCAAAAGACAGAUCGGACCUUGGGAUCACGAAGAGAUGCCUGGUGCGAGUUCCAAAGAGCAUUUGGGCACAACAUCGAACAAUGCAUAGCCUUGGGUCACCAACUGGCUAGCCUGGUCAAAGAAGGGGCUUGAAGGAGUAUCUCGAGGUGAACCAGGAAGAACCAAAGGGAGAGGUUGCUAUCAACGACCAAACACAUGAGACACGAUUUUCUCGAAGGAGGAAACUCGGCUUCCAAACGUAAACGAUACACGUGAGCGGUGAUAUCCCUGGAUAUGAGGAGACCUAAUAAUCCUCUGGAGCCCACUCUCUGCUUCACGAGUUCCGACUUGGAAGACGUGGUUCAUCACGAGGAUGAUCCGGUGGUGAUAUUUGUCCUCACUGUAGGGCAGAAGGUGCACAAAGUCUUGGUCGAUCAGGGAAGCUCGGCUAGUGUGAUGUUCUAGGGAAUGUUCACCAACUUCCAGUUAUCCCCUGACCAAUUGGGGCCAUACGAUGGGUGUUUGGUGGGCUUCGUGGGAGAUUAGGUAGAAGUAUGUGGGUACGUUGAGCUGAGGACGACCUUCUUCGAUGAAAGCGUGGCUUGGACGAUUACCAUCAGGUACAUCGUUGUUAACGGGUCUUCUGCUUACAAAGCUUUUGGGGUGACCUUCCCUGAAUAGGUUGGGUGCGGUAGCCUCGACAGCCAUAUGAAGAUGAACUGCCUUCUCCUGAAGGACGAGUGAUUAUCAUAAAGUCCUAUCAAAAGAUGUGGUUCCUCACGAGAAUGAUCCAGUGGUGAUAUUUUUCGUCACCAUGGAAAGGAAGGUGCACAGAGUCUUGAUUGAUCAAGGGAGCUCGACUUAUGUGAUGUUCUGGGAAACAUUCACUAGCUUGCAGUUGUCCCCUGACUACUUGAGGCCAUACGAUGGGUGCUUGGUCGGCUUCGCGGGAGAUAAGGUUGAAGUACGAGGGUACGUUGAGCUAAGGAUGACCUUCUCUAACGACAUCGCAGCAAGGACAAUCACCAUUAGGUACAUCGUUGUUAACGCGUCCUCCACUUACAAUUUGCUUUUGGGGCAACCUUCCCUUAACAGAUUUUGUGUAGUGGCCUCAACGACCCAUACGAAGAUGAAGCUUCCUUCUUCUGAGGGAGGAGUGAUUACCAUAAAGUUUGACCAGAAGAUGGCGCAAAAGGGCUACGAGAGUAGCCUGAAGAAUAGAAGAGGAACUUACGUAAUUACUAUUCAAGCAGGAAAGCCAGAAUGGAUUGCUUAGGCAAAAGUUGUCAACGAGAGGUGACCUGGACCUGCUGGAGAGGUUAAGGAAAGGGUGAUAAAAGGGAAGAACUUUAAGCUUAGCACCUCAUUGGGAAAAGAGCUUGAAAAUAAGAUAGUUGAUGUGAUAUCAGAGAGCAUGGAUGCUUUCGCAUGGUGGUCCGCAGACAUGCCUGAGAUAGACCCAGACUUCCUAUGUCAUUGGCUUACCAUGGAUGAGAGAGUCAAACCCAUGGUCCAGAGGAGAAGAAAGUUCAAUGAAGAUAAGCGCUUAGUCAUCCGAGAGGAGACUUGGAAGCUUUUGAUUGCUGGCCACAUAAGGAAGAUCCAAUACCCUGAGUGGUUGGCAAAUGUUGAGUUGGUAAAGAAGGCCAACGAGAAGUGGAGGAUGUGUGUCACUUCACUGAUCUGAACAAAGCUUGUCUCAAGGAUUUUUACUCGCUACCGAGCAUAGACUCCUUGGUUGACAAUGCCUUAGGUUGUCGGUUAUUAAGUUUUCUUGAUGUGUUCUCGGGGUAUAACCAGAUUUGUAUGCACUCGAAGGACGAGAGUAAGACAACCUUUAUGGCCGAGGUCACCAGUUAUUGAUACAAGGUCAUGCCCUUGGCCUUAAAAAUGCUUGCACAACCUAUUAAAGGCUAAUGGAUCGAAUCCUUGCCCCAAUGCUUGGGCGAAACGUGCAGGCGUAUGUAGACGACAUGGUUGUCACGUCGGAAAGAAAGGAUCAACAUAUUGCCGAUUAGGAAGAGCUUUUCACAAAAAUAGUGAAGUACAACUUAAAGCUUAAUCCAGAUAAAUGUGUUUUCAGAGUAGAAGCAGGGAAGUUCCUUAGCUUCCUAUUAACUGAAAGGGGCAUAAAGGCGAAUCCCGAAAUAUGCAUGAAUCAUAGGGAUGAAGAGUCAGACCAAUGUGAGGGAGGUAUAACAGCUCACCGGGAGCAUAACCACCCUCUCUCGUUUCUUGUCGGCUAGUGGAGACAAGGGUACCACUAUUUCCAAUGUCUUAAGAAGAACAAUCGUUUUGUGUGGACUAGUGAAUGCGAAGAAGCUUUCACCAUGUUGAAAGAGUAUUUGUCUUUAUUUUGCGAUUAUGGAUCGGGCAAUCAGCUCGGUCAUUUUGCAAGAUCGGGAUAAGGUCCAAAAGCCAGUCUAUUUUGUGUGUAAGGUACUAUAGGGACCGAAAACUUGGUAUCAAGCCAUCGAGAAAGCCACCUUAGCCGUGGUGUUUACAGCUUGACGACUUCACCAGUACUUUCAGAGUUUCACUGUGAUCGUUAUGAUUGAUCUGCCCAUUCGCAAGGUCCUUCAAAAGACUGAUAUAGUAGGUCGGAUGGUUCGUUGGGCGGUGGAGUUAUCCGAGUUUGACAUACAAUAUUGUUAAAGAUGUGAGCUUUGAUGUUUCAAAUCCACAUGAAGCCUGAAGUUGUGUUGCUUUAUGGGUUUGGGUUUAGAUUAGGUUGUUUAGAAUCUUUGUUAAGAUCAGUCUUUCAUUCCUACACAAAGCUUGAUCAAUCAGUUUUAAAAGAAACGAAGUGUUUUCCAUGCAAGGGAAAACAACCGGUUGAAUUGUCGAGACAAUCGGUUGUUUGUCACUUAGCUGGCAAUGAGGUUUUGAAACUGUUUUUUGAAUUGGUUUUGUAACUACUUGAUCCAUUCAACCGGUUAAAUCGUGGUUUCAACCGGUUAAAUGAGUGUUGUACUAACAAUUUUUUGAAAACCUGUUUCAACUGUUUUAAAUGAGAUCAAAACUAAUUUGAGUCUGUUAUGUUGCCUUAAACGACUAGAUUUUAAAUGCUAUAAAUAUAGCCUUCUUUCAAAUGUAUAAAAGAUAAGUUUUACACUUUGAUUUGAGAUCAAAAAGAGAGAUUACAAUCUGUUUGUGAAAGAAGUUUUACAAGAUUAGCAAGAUUUCUUUUAAGCUUUGUUGUGGUAUCAAGAACUGAUCAUAGGGUUUCUGUUGUUUGUAAUUUCAGGUGUUUUCUAUCCGUGUUUAGUUCCUUAUAAUUGUACUUUGAUAAACAUGUGUAAGUGUUGGUGAAAUCAUGUAAAGUCAAUGUGAUUCUGGCUUGAGGUGUGUGCUGGUGCAAAGGAGGUGAGUAGGCUUUGUGGGAUUCAAAGUCACCUCUUUG
rnacentral:lncRNA from 1 species